GACAAAUAUAGUAGCAAGAUUGUAAGUGAAUUUCUCUAGCUGCAUGCUUAACAGGGCUGCCAAUUAUUAUUAUUAUUAUUAUUAUUAUUAUUAUUAUUAUUAUUAGCUCUUGUGCUUUUAAGAAUAGCUUUACCUGCAGUUAUUAGGAGGCAAUAAUCUCCAUGCCUUGAAAAAGAGGGGCGGGGGAUGCAUAAGCAUAUAUCCUAACUAAUUUUGAUUGCAAAAACUCAAAUUGCUUUAUCAUUCAUCUCCCUUCUCAUUAUAUAUGCUUUUGGAUUAGGGGUUACCUACAAAUUUGAUAAAUAAUAUUAAAUAACACAAAACCAGUUCUUUCUCUCCAUUGAAAAAGAUAGGAGCUGCAGGAUCAACAUCUCUGUGCUUCAGUAACCGCCGCCUGGCACAAUGAGGUCUUCUGCCUAAACAAAAGUAAAGAAUGAAGCUGUCCAUGUUUUGGUCCUGUGGAGGAUCCCAUUGGGCAAGGAGGCAAAAGCAGGUUUGCUUAUUUCAGCACUAAGGAGAACUCCUAGUGAGCAACGUUCACCUCUGCUAUACUCCACCUCUGCUAUGCUCCCUUUUGAAGAACUGGCGAGUCUCAUAAAGUUCCACCUCUGAAUAUGGGAAGGGACGCGGGUGGCGCUCUGGGUUAAACCACAGAGCCUAGGACUUGCUGAUCAGAAGGUCGGCGGUUUGAAUCCCCACGACGGGGUGAGCUCCCGUUGCUCGGUCCCUGCUUCUGCCAACCUAGCAGUUCGAAAGCAUGUCAAAGUGCAAGUAGAUAAAUAGGUACCACUCCGGCGGGAAGGUAAACAGCAUUUCCGUGCGCUGCUCUGGUUCGCCAGAAGCAGCUUAGUCAUGGUGGCCACAUGACCCAGAAGCUGUACGCUGGCUCCCUCGGCCAUUAAGCGAGAUGAGCGCCGCAACCCCGUAGUCAGCCAUGACUGGACAUAAUGGUCAGGGGUCCCUUUACCUUUACCUGAAUAUGGGAACUUCUCCAGUGCUCCACAGCCUCCCAUCUAGAGUUCUCCCUGUGCCACUGGACUCAUCAGGUAGUGCAAGUAGCAUGCUCUUGGGCUCAAGAGGAAGGCACCCUCCAUGGGGGUCUUGACUCAAAUUUACAGGGCCUGGUCCAGUGAGAUCUAGUUCAGCAUCCUGACAGUCUUGAGUUUGAUGGUCCUCUGAUCAUCAGCAUCAGUCCCAGAGCCAGGAACUCAGUCUGGCUCACUUACUGGGGACACUGUUGUCUCCAGCUUGGAGUAGUGGUAACUACUGCAUUCUGGGAUCACAAGAAUGUAGUGCAAUGCCCCACCUAGAGUCUUAGAACAGUCAGUGUGAGAUACAGUUCUCCACCCUACUUUAACCCCCAGAAAACAAAUGCUAGGUGCCUGAGUUUUUCGUUUGUUAAGAGGCUUAAGACGAACAAGUGCAGCAUGUGUUCCCACUGUUUCCAGUUCCGCUUCCCUUUAAUCAUUAAAAUAUGAUGUUUGGCUUCAUUUGCUUUUUGAAGAAAUCUAUAACCCCCAAACAAAAAAGCUUUGUGAAUUGUGAAGAACUAAAUUUUAGCGCUUGCCACUUUAUUGAAUUCCAGAGGCAGAACAAGUAAAAUUAAUUGUGUUUCUUUUUGGCUACGGACUUUAGUCAGAGUAGUUCUUAUCGUAAAUUCCAUUAGUAUGCCAUUUGCUGACAAGGCUGACAAAGCGAAGGGAUUAGCUGGAAGGAGGUAGCGGGUUGUUUCUGUUUGAUCAAUAGUUCCCACAGCUACAAUAUCACUUCUGUGCAGUGUUUUUUAAUUCUGCAGAGCUGGAACUUCUAGGAACUUCUAGGAAUUUCCACACAGAACCCUCACUUUACUCUGGGAAAAGAAAACUUAGGGCCCUUCAGAUUUUGCUGGACUUCCAACUUGCAUCAUCUUCGAUCAUUGGCCAUGCUGGCUGGGGCUGAUGGAAGAUGAAAUCCCACAAUAUGUGGAGGGCCACAAAUCCUGCAUCCCAGUCUUACUCCCUGUUAUACUGGCUAGAGUGUUGGACCUGGGAGACCAGGGUACAGGUCCGCACUCAGCCACAAAGCUCACUGCAUGACCUGGGGCCAGUCAUCAUCUCUCAGCCUACUCUACCUCACAGGGUUGCUGUGAGGAAAACACAUUGAAUAUCCUGAAUUUUUGUUCAACUUACUUUUACGUGCAUUUUUAUACAGCUGUUUUAUUGGAUUUAAGUUAUGUUUUUGUUGUAAUUAUUUUGUUUUUGCCAGAGAGAUGAUGAGAUAAAAAACUGCGAAAACAACCCAGCUACAAGGAUGCAAAAGGUUUGGACUGAGAGCAGAUUUCAUUUGGUGAAAGAGAUGGUGGGGGAGGGGAGCCCAUGGUUUGCUUAUUUUUCUCUACAUUUAUGAUACGGCAACCCUUACCGGAAUGCAAAUUUUAUAAAAAAUAUAUCUGCACAAGUGAGGAUGGAAAAAAUUGGAAUAUAAUGUAAUAUGGAAUUUAACAAAAUUGGAACUCUGUGUGUGAGACAAAGGAACUGAGGGGAAAGUGGGGAGGGGAGAAACCCUAUGCUUUGAAAAUAUAGAGCAAAAUCUGCCCUAAUUUCCAUUAUUCUCAAAGGAAUGUGUUUAAGAUAAGGAUAAAUGGCCAUAAAUCAGCGGCAGGGAGGAAAGGAGUCUACCAGUUGUGGGAAUAGAAGAUUAUGGAUUAACUAUUUGCAGUCUGGAUUCAGACUGAAAAAAAUGACGAAGACGGCUUGUUUACUGGAAGCUGAAUCACGGGACCAAGCGAUGCAGGGACUUUUGGAAACUGUGAGGUAACAGCUUCUCCCAGGACAGGACAGGAACCAUCAACACUUGCAGGAAUGAAGGAUACAACAAUAUAUAUGGAUGGGAAAACAUCAUGGAAAAAAUUGUGACACGCAGGAAAGAAUAAGGAUUAUGGCUAAAGUUCCUCACUUGAAACUUUAUAAAUUAUCUAAUAUACCAACACAAAUAGAAAUCACAAGAUUGUAGCUUUUAUAUAAAGGAUUAUUAUAUCUGAAUGGAAUGAAAUGGGAAUUAUUAAAAGUUUGGAACGCAGAAAAAAUGUAGAAGAACGAACUUAUAAACUCUAACAUGCGAGGGGGCCAGUUUAAUUAAAUUGAAUUCCCAAAGGAGGGGGUCAGGCUGUGCCUUGGCCAAAGGCCUGGUGGAACAGCUCUGUCUUGCAGGCCCUGUGGAAAGAUGUCAAGUCCCGCAGGGCCCUAGUCUCUUGUGACAGAGCGUUCCACCAGAUCGGAGCCACAGCCGAAAAAGCCCUGGCUCUGGUUGAGGCCAGCCUAACCUCUCUGUGGCCUGGGACCUCCAAGAUGUUUUUGUUUGAAGACCGUAAGGUCCUCCGUGGGACGUAUCAGGAGAGGCGGUCCCGUAGGUACGAGGGUCCUAGGUCGUAUAGGGCUUUAAAGGUUAAAACCAGCACCUUAAACCUGAUCCUGUACUCCACCAGGAGCCAGUGCAGCUGGUAUAGCACUGGGUGAAUGUGAUCCCGCAGCAAGGACCCCGUAAGGAGUCUCGCCGUGGCAUUCUGCACCCACUGGAGUUUCUGGGUCAGUCUCAAGGGCAGCCCCACGUAGAGCGAGUUACAAUAAUCCAGUCUGGAGGUGACCGUUGCAUGGAUCACAGUGGCUAGGUCAUGGCGAGAGAGGUAAGGAGCCAACUGCUUAGCUUGGCAGAGAUGAAAAAAUGCCACCUUUGUUGUAGCUGCAAUCUGCACCUCCAUGGAAAGGGAGGUGUCGAAGAUUACACCCAAACUCUUAACGGACAGUGCUGGCACUAAUUGCACCCCUGCAAGAAAUGGGAGUUGCCCCCCCAAUCCCAUAUCGUCCUGCCCCAGCCAAAGGACCUCUAUCUUCGAAGGAUUUAACUUCAACCGGCUCCCACGUAACCAUUCAGCCACAGCUUCCAAACAUCUGAUCAGUGUGUCUGGGGCCGAGUCAGGAUGGCCAUCCAUCAACAGCUAGAGUUGGGUGUUAUCAGCAUACUGAUGGCAGCCCAACCCAAAACUCUGGACAAGCUGGGUGAGGGGGCACAUAAAGAUGUUGAAAAGCAUCGGGGAGAGUAUCUCACCCUGCGGCACUCCACACACCAAGGAGUGGCGCGACGACAGUUCCCCCCCAAGCGCCACCCUCUGUCCCCGACCAGAGAGAAACGAGCGCAGCCAUUGAAGGACUGUGCCCUGGAUCCCCACGUUGGCAAGGCGGUGGUCCAGGAGUUCGUGAUCAACCAUGUCGAAGGCUGCUGACAGGUCUAAAAGAAUCAGCAGCCCUGACCCGCCCCGAUCCAGCUGCCUGUAGAGAUCAUCUGUUAGGGCGACCAAAGCUGUCUCGGUCCCAUGACCAGAGCGGAAGCCGGAUUGGAAUGGAUCCAGAGCCGAUGUUUCAUCCAGAAACCCACCAAGCAGUUCAAUUUAAAAAGGUAUCCUAGCAUAGAAGGAUUCUCUUCAACUUGUGGAGGGUGAAAGGGAUUUAGAGCACCUGAAUAGGAUUGUAUUCAUUUGUUAAAUCACUUAUUUCUCAGUAUUAAUCUUCCUGCCUGAGAUGAAUGUUCUCCUUUGGCUUGAUGCCAUUCUGCCAUGUUUUCCAUUAUUUCAUUGCUGAGUUUUAUGUCGAUAAAUCGAUCCCUUAGUGCCUGUUAUACUUUGGUGACUUGCCAUGCUGAUUUAGAACUGUGAUUCUAUAUAAUAAUAAAAAAAGGUGUGGGGGGGAGAACAAGCAAGUCAUUUCUCCAUUCACAGCAUGCCAAGAUCAAUUUAUAGAGGGGCUAAUUGUGUCAUCAUUCAGCCAUGAAGAACUGUGAAUGUAAAGCAUCAAGGAAUGACAGAAGCCUGCAAUACUAUAAUAACUUGAUUUGAUAUUUUAAAUAAUGCUAUGUUCACUCUCUGAAGGCUGAUCGCCGAAGAAUUGAUGCUUUUGAAUUAUGGUGCUGGAGGAGACUCUUGAGAGUCCCAUGGACUGCAAGAAGAUCAAACGUAUCCAUUCUGAAGGAAAUCAGCCCUGAGUGCUCACUGGAACGACAGAUCGUGAAGCUGAGGCUCCAAUACUUUGACCACCUCAUGAGAAGAGAAGACUCCCCGGAAAAGACCCUGAUGUUGGGAAAGAUGGAGGGCACAAGGAGAAGGGGACGACAGAGGACAAGAUGGUUGGACAGUGUUCUCGAAGCUACAAACAUGAGUUUGACCAAACUGCGGGAGGCAGCGGAAGACAGGAGUGCCUGGCUUGCUCUGGUCCAUGGGGACACGAAGAGUCGGACACGACUAAACGACUAAACAACAACAUGUUCACUCUCUAGGAGUAGAGACAGGAGUAAGUGCUGACAAAGUAACAGGAAAUGUCAGAGGCAUAAACACACACAUAUACACACACCAUUCCCCCUGGUUUUUAAACUGGAAACUCUAGAAGAAAUCAAAAUAUGUGCAAUAUUUAUAUAUUUACCAAUACUAAGCUGGAAUCAUGUCAGGCAAUGACAAAACCAAAACCCAGAUACCCUUUCAAUAAGGGAGCAAUCCUACCCACAAUAAGCUGGCAUAUAGAAGCUUGGCAGAGGGGAAACUUACCUAAGUUUUCUAUUUUUCAAAAUUAUUUUUUGUAUAUAAUUUUUAUUAAAUUUUCUGUUUUACAAUUUAAAAUACUUAUUUUAACAUCCUGAAAAUAUCAAUGACUUCCCUUUUUCUCUUUCCAUAGUUCAUUUUACAUAUCACAAAUCCCUACAUAUUUUACAAAAACUAUACCAUUCAGUAUUCCAUUAUUGCAUCCAUCAAAACUUAUUUACUCUGUUGAAUUUAUCUUAAUGCUGCCAGUCUUUUCAGCUGUAAACAAUUAUUUAUCACAUCUCCAAUAAACGUUUUCCAAUCUUCUUUAAAUGUAUGUUCUUCUUGUUCUCUUAUUCUAUAUGCUAAGCCCCAAAAUGGAAAGUGAACGAGGUCCCAACUAAAGAGGAUUGGCAACUCAAGUUGACAGAAUAUGCACAACUUGCAGAUUUAACAUAUAGAAUAAGAGAGCAAGAAGAGCAUACGUUUAAAGAAAAUUGGAAAACGUUUAUUGAGUAUAUGGAAAAUAACCACGUAUAGCUGAAAACGCUGGUAGCAUUAAGAUAAAUUCAACUGAGUAAAUCAUUCUCGAUGAGUGUACAGUAAUAGUGGAAAAUUGAUUUGAAUAGUUAUAGCAAAAUAUGCAGGGAUGUAAGAUAUGCAAGGGACGCAGGUGGCGCUGUGGUCUAAACCACAGAACCUAGGGCUUGCCAAUCAGAAGGUCGGUGGUUCAAAUCCCCGCGGCGGGGUGAGCUCCUGUUGCUCGGUCCCUGCUCCUGCCAACCUAGCAGUUCGAAAGCACGUCAAAGUGCAAGGAGAUAAAUAGGUACCGCUCCAGAGGGAAGGUAAACGGCGUUUCCAUGCGUGGCUCUGGUUUGCCAGAAGCGGCUUAGUCCUGCUGGCCACAUGACCCGGAAGCUGUACGCUGGCUCCCUCAGCCUAUAGAGCGAGAUGAGGGCCGCAACCCCAGAGUCGUCCACAACUGGACCUAAUGGCCAGGGGUCCCUUUACCUUUAAGAUAUGUAAAAUGAACCAUAGAAAGAGAAGAACAGAAGUCAUUGGAUUUUUUAAAAAAUUGUAAAAUGUUUAUUUGAAAUUGUAAAACAGAAAACUUAAUUUUAUUUUUAUAUAUAUAUAUAUAUAUAUAUAUAUAUAUAUAUAUAUAUAUAUGAAUGAGAGAUGUGGCUUCAGAAAUGGGGUUGGGAAGGUGAAGCAUGAGCUUAGGAGCUGCAUGGGGUAGGAAGAUGAAGCUCUAGGGGGUUUAUGUGGGUUUGGGGUUGGUGAGUGGAGUGUGCAGGGAUGCAGCUUCUAACAGUUUCAGGACAUGAUUUCAAUACUGGUUCUCACCACACGACAAUGUAGCCCUCCAUCUGGGCACACAUAAGAGGCUCUGAGGUUCCAUGGCAGUAACUCAAGUGAAUACAGUGGUAGCUCGGGUUACAGACGCUUCAGGUUACAGACUCUGCUAACCCAGAAAUAGUACCUUAGGUUAAGAACUUUGCUUCAUGAUGAGAACAGAAAUCGCACAGUGGCAGCGGGAGGCCCUAUUAGCUAAAGUGGUACCUCAGGUUAAGAACAGUUUCAGGUUAAGAACGGACCUCCGGAACGAAUUAAAUUCUUAACCCAAGGUACCACUGUGUGUGAUUUGAAAUGGGACACUUGUGUAGGCUUGAUGGAGUAUGUAACACUUCUGGUGCUAUGGGACAUGGAAGUUCUGAAAACAUACUGUCGCAAGCAUCUUGGUUGGGCAUGGAAAAUUGCCUAUUCAUAAAAGCAUUUUGGCCGAGAGGUUUUUGCUCAUUGAAGAAAUGGGCUUAAUGGCCUGUGAUGGCUGGUGGCUGCUAGCCACACCACUUGCUGCAAUAUAUGGGUGAGAAGUUGAAGGAAAGAGUUUGGCCAUCUGGAAUGAAGCCAAUGGAGGAAAAGCAAAUGAGUUUUGCAGCUGGACAGGGGUGUGUGUGUGUGGGGGGGGGAUUCAAGGAUGUACCCUUGCUUUGGAGGAAGCAAUAAUAAUUUAUAACCUGCAGUGCCUGUCUGGGCUUGCUUCCCCGCAGAAUCGUUGAGUCUAUUUCUUGAUAAUCCGUUAAUUACAGAAGUUUUCACAAGUUUCUGACAUUCCUAUCUCACAAGGCAUCCUGUAAAAGACUGGCACCAAAUUUAACUCAGGUACAUGGUGAGCUCAAACAAAAAAAGCAAUUGAGUGGGUGAGUGGUCCUGCAAAACAGCUGCCAGACCAGCCAGGGAAAACAAUGUCUUAGAUUUUUAGGUCCCAAAGUGGCUUUACACGAGUGCACUAAAAAGCAGGAAGCUCUUUAGCUUCGCUUCGCUUCACUUUACAAUUUAUAUCCUGCGCUUCUGCAUCUAAGAUGAAGCUCAGUCCAUUGGUCUAUAUAGCGCAGAAUCAUUUCCCCUGGCUGGCAGUGACUCUCCCUUCCUAUGGUUUCCAGCAACUGGUAUUUAUUAUGUAUUGAAACUUAUGACUCUGUAGAAUAAUAUGAAGUUUUUUCUUCUCCAUGAAGGUGCUGCUGUCUGUCAGUGAGAGGCUAGCAGUGAGAUGGCUAUGACGGCUGCUGUAUAAUUACCACCUCAAUCAGCCCUCAGUCUCUGGGUCAGGGAGCAAGAUAUAUUUCCAUGUCACCUAAAUUUAUGGAUUGAAGAAGAAACACAGCUGGGGAUUGGAACUCGGAUCUGUACCACAAUUGCUGCUGAUAGGUGGUGACUUGCCUAUACCUGGGAAUGGUUACUUGUCUUAUCCUCUCUGUGAAAUGGCAUUUGUUAUGAUCAAUGGCGUGCGAGCCUCGAUCCGAG